UAGGGCUUCUAGAGGAGGUUGACGGCCCGAGGUCCAAGCCGCUGAGCCGCGCGCGACCCAUGCAAAACACACGGCGCUCCAACGUGUCCAGAGGCCGGUCCGGUUCACGUUCCGCAUGCCUGCAUAGGCACGGCACGGGCUGCCCGGCUGCCCCGCAUGUGUCAUGUGUGCCGUGUGCACGGAAUCCACCUGAAUUUACUUGGGCCGCUGGGUCCUGCUGAUCUGCUGGAUGUAAAAUUCCGGAUUUACUGUUUGUUUCACACGGUCAGCUCCGGAGGCUAGCUGAAUCCUGAACGCAUGCAAGGUAGGGGAGCAGCUAGCUUAUUACUUCCACGAGCUCAUUGCUUGAUUGGUGGGGAGUUACGCGCGUAUGCACACCACGGCCACGGCCACCUUGUGUCGAGUCACCAACUCACCAUCUAUUGGAGUUUAUGUCUCGGUUUCUUAUCCCUUGUAAUACCUAGCUCUUCAGGAUAUUAUCUUUUUUUUGGCAGACACCAAUAGUAGCAAGACAAAGCCCACUCACACGAAAAGGGGUGGCCUUUCGUGGAUCAUCAGCCUCCAAGUCCCACAAAAGCUCCCCCUUUUAUCAAAAGUUCAGAUCGGGUGCCAGUCUGCCGGUCUAGCCCCAAGACAUAGACUACAUGAGCUUCUACCAGAAGCUACUGCACCCAAAUUAGCAGCUUUCACCUAACAGGCUAUAGCUCCAAUUAUAUCCAAUAUACUUCAUUAAGACAACACCAACG
rnacentral:lncRNA from 1 species